UGUGAGCCCGGGGGCCCCCCUCGCCACACCCCCAAGCCCUGCCAAUCACAAUGUGGUUGCCGUGGCGACAGCUUGGCGCGAAGGCAGGAGGUUGACGUCAACUGAGCCAACGCGAGGGGCCCUGAGGAAGGGUCUGGAAAAGGGGGGGGGGCGGUGUGCGACCCCCAAACAAAGAAGGGGGUGAUGUGGAGAAAGGCCCUGUAACGACUCCCAAGUGCAAAAUCUCUGAAGAAAAAGAAAAAAACACCCAUACAAUUUGUGUAAAAAACCGAAAAUCAGCGGGCACAAACAUGUAUGUUGAAGUCUGUAGACAAACGAGAAAGUGGGAGACCAGACUUUCCUGAGACACACGAAAGACCCGAGACUAGCCUCCUAGUAAACGGAGAGCCCUCGAAAAGCGACGAGGUAAAGACCAAACCAAGCCCCCAAACGCGCAAUUCACGGGAAAUACAAAUGGCUGACAGACCUACGGGGCAAAAAUUGCGACCCGACUCGCAAAGAAACCCACGGAAAACCGAGAGUCCGGACGCGCGCGGUUCAGGGGCUCUCUGCUCAGGCAGGGCCGCGCCGGCUCCCACCGCGGUCCGCACGGACCUCGACCUCGGCCGCGCUGCGGAGAGCGGGGCUGCGGCGCGGGAGGAGACCCGGGAGCCGCGGGAACGACGGACCAAAGGCGCGACAGAGUAGGCGAAGUUGUGGAGAUGACCGGGCUCCCACUCCUGUUCCUCCGACUGUUUAAGGCAGCGGCCGUGGUGGUGGAUACCCGUCAUGGAGCCUGGCACACAGUGUGUCAUUGGCCUCAGGGAAGAGCCCGGGACAGAGAGAAUCUGGGGCAGGGUCCUGGCAAGACAGCCCGCAUGUACAUCCCUUCCGGGGCCUCCCAUGUCCCGUACGGGUUGCCACGAGGACCAUGGGAACCGAGGAAGGGUAAUUUUAUGUUCACUCCUGGAAAUGACAGUGAGAGAGCCUCCAGGUUGAGGGAGCAGCCAUGCAAAGGCCCUGAGCAUGCCCCCCACCGGACCCCGUCAUGGAGCAGCAGCCACAUGGCCCAAGCGGAAGGCGCCUCCUCACCAGCCAGCACCCCGUUUGCACGUCACUUGCCCGGAUCUCGGAAGAAGGUACAUUCUGGAACAUGGUUUUUAAAAAUCCUGGCUACACCAUGGCAGGCACAGUGCCAGGUGAUCUACAAGAAGCAUCUAUCAUAA
rnacentral:lncRNA from 1 species